AUUGAACGCUGGCGGCAGGCUUAACACAUGCAAGUCGAGCGAGCGGCGGACGGGUGAGUAAUGUCUGGGAAACUGCCUGAUGGAGGGGGAUCACUCCUGGAAACGGUAGCUAAUACCGCAUACCAUCAGAUGUGCCCAGCGGGGAUUAGCUAGUAGGUGGGGUAAUGGCUCACCUAGGCGACGAUCCCUAGCUGGUCUGAGAGGAUGACCAGGAAAACGGGAACGGAGACACGGUCCAGAGGAGUACGGGAGGAAGAAGGGGGGAAUAGUGAAAAAUGGGAGAAAGCCUGAUGCAGCCAUGCGGCGUGUGUGAAGAAGGCAUUGGGGUUGAAAAGCACUUUAAGCGGGGAGGCGUUACUCGCAGAAGAAGCACCGGCUAACUCAGUGCCAGCAGCCGCGGUAAUAC
rnacentral:rRNA from 1 species